rnacentral:rRNA from 1 species
UACGAAGGGGGCUAGCGUUACUCGGAAUCACUGGGCGUAAAGGGUGCGUAGGCGGGUCUUUAAGUCCGGGGUGAAAUCCUGGAGCUCAACUCCAGAACUGCCUUUGAUACUGAGGAUCUUGAGUUCGGGAGAGGUGAGUGGAACUGCGAGUGUAGAGGUGAAAUUCGUAGAUAUUCGCAAGAACACCAGUGGCGAAGGCGGCUCACUGGCCCGAUACUGACGCUGAGGCACGAAAGCGUGGGGAGCAAACAGG